UAACUUGUUCAAAGUUUCGGAAGGCGGUAGCACAGAAGAGCUUGCUCUCGGGUGACGAGCGGCGGACGUUGUGAGUAAUGUCUGGGAAACUGCCUGAUGGAGGGGGAUAACUACUGGAAACGGUAGCUAAUACCGCAUAACGUCGCAAGACCAAAGAGGGGGACCUUCGGGCCUCUUGCCAUCAGAUGUGCCCAGAUGGGAUUAGCUAGUAGGUGGGGUAACGGCUCACCUAGGCGACGAUCCCUAGCUGGUCUGAGAGGAUGACCAGCCACACUGGAACUGAGACACGGUCCAGACUCCUACGGGAGGCAGCAGUGGGGAAUAUUGCACAAUGGGCGCAAGCCUGAUGCAGCCAUGCCGCGUGUAUGAAGAAGGCCUUCGGGUUGUAAAGUACUUUCAGCGGGGAGGAAGGUGCUGAGGUUAAUAACCUCAGCAAUUGACGUUACCCGCAGAAGAAGCACCGGCUAACUCCGUGCCAGCAGCCGCGGUAAUACGGAGGGUGCAAGCGUUAAUCGGAAUUACUGGGCGUAAAGCGCACGCAGGCGGUCUGUCAAGUCGGAUGUGAAAUCCCCGGGCUCAACCUGGGAACUGCAUUCGAAACUGGCAGGCUAGAGUCUUGUAGAGGGGGGUAGAAUUCCAGGUGUAGCGGUGAAAUGCGUAGAGAUCUGGAGGAAUACCGGUGGCGAAAGCGGCCCCCUGGACAAAGACUGACGCUCAGUGCGAAAGCGUGGGGGAGCAAACAGGAUUAGAUACCCUGGUAGUCCACGCCGUAAACG
rnacentral:rRNA from 1 species